UAGGGAAUCUUCCGCAAUGGACGCAAGUCUGACGGAGCAACGCCGCGUGAGUGAAGAAGGAUUUCGGUUCGUAAAACUCUGUUGUUAGAGAAGAACAGCGCAUAGAGUAACUGUUAUGCGUGUGACGGUAUCUAACCAGAAAGCCACGGCUAACUACGUGCCAGCAGCCGCGGUAAUACGUAGGUGGCAAGCGUUGUCCGGAUUUAUUGGGCGUAAAGCGAGCGCAGGCGGUCAAUUAAGUCUGAUGUGAAAGCCCCCGGCUCAACCGGGGAGAGUCAUUGGAAACUGGUUGACUUGAGUGCAGAAGAGGAGAGUGGAAUUCCGUGUGUAACGGUGAAAUGCGUAGAUAUAUGGAGGAACACCAGUGGCGAAGGCGACUCUCUGGUCUGUAACUGACGCUGAGGCUCGAAAGCGUGGGUAGCAAACAGG
rnacentral:rRNA from 1 species